rnacentral:rRNA from 1 species
GGAUUAGAUACCCUGGUAGUCCACGCCGUAAACGAUGUGUGCUAGACGUCGGAAGCUUGACUUUCGGUGUCGCAGCUAACGCAAUAAGCACACCGCCUGGGGAGUACGGUCGCAAGAUUAAAACUCAAAGGAAUUGACGGGGGCCCGCACAAGCGGUGGAGCAUGCGGUUUAAUUCGAAGCAACGCGCAGAACCUUACCAACCCUUGACAUACGGAUCGCGGUUUACAGAGAUGUUUACCUUCAGCUCGGCUGGAUCCUGUACAGGUGCUGCAUGGCUGUCGUCAGCUCGUGCCG